rnacentral:tRNA from 1 species
GCGGGCCUAGCUCAACCGGUAGAGCAGUGGACUUUUAAUCCACAGCCUCAUUCAAUGCCCAAUGCGCUGAUCUUUAGAAACGUGCCACUGGAUCAUCCAGUGUGGACCUGCG